AAAUCAGAGACAUAUAUACACAGAGAUUGGCAACUGUAACAGUGGUCAGCGAAAUCCAAUUAAAAACACGCAUCACACGAGACUUUAACGAGAUCGCCAUUUUGCAUCUGAUCAUGACAAGUUCACCACCGCUUCGAUUUUUAUUUUACAUCAAGCUUUUCAAAACAGCAUAAUGAUCCUGCAUGUUAUAAAAGAACAAAGAUGUUGAUCAAAUUUACCUAACAGUGCAUCAUACAAGAGAUGUAAUAUCAUACAUGUGCUGAAUGUAGGACUCCCUAGCCUUUCUGAUUGAAAAAAAGAUUCCCUGGCAGACAGGAACAACUAUUAGUGAUGACUUUUUUCAAAUGAUACUGCACAGUCAUGUAGUGGACUGAUUACAUGUACUACUAUCAAUGUGAUACUAAAAAAUGGUUUUGUAAGAGAUAAAAUGACAUGUGCUUAUCCUGACUGUGAAAACACCACAUUAUUGUAGUUCAAAUAUCAUAGUUCAUAUGCCAAACUUGAUGUACAUGUGUAUGCGAUUUUUGUGCAAGUGAUGGUGACAUCAUUGAACUAAGAAUAAAUAGAAGACUCCGCAUUCAAUCUAUUGAAUUUGAAACAGAAGUGGCAGUUGUGCAGAGACUAUACGGAUAAAAAUGCAAAUAAAUAUCUUGUGUUCAA